CGGACGGCGGCAGGGAGGGGCGGAAUCCCGGAGCUGCUUCGCCCAGUGCCAAGCUCGGCGAGCACACUUCCUGUAAUCUGCUGGGUGAACCAGUGGGAUGAAAGGAGGUGGCAAAGCAGCGCUGCUCCGGAGACUCCUCCCAGCUGGGCUCGGCAGCUGUCCGGCUUUGUCUAAGGUAAUUGGCCGAGCCUUUCCUCUUAUUCACGGGGAGGAGUCCCGCCUCGGGAAGGAAUGUCAGGUGCAGAAAGGCAGACUUCGUGGGUGACUUCAACUUCAUUACACAGUGACUUCAACUUCCUUACGAGCAAAACAAACGAAGGCUGCCUCCUGAGGUAACUGCAUUCUCCCAUAAGAACAAUGUAAUUUUUUAAAAUCUACACACAUAACAAAAUGAACAGCUCAGAGUGAAUAAAUGUAGGUAGAGGUAUGAAAAUGGCAAUCCUGAGGGCAGAUGCAAAGAUAAAAAGUAUUUUGCUAUCGUUCGCCAGUCUCUUCCUAUUUGAUUCUGCUUCCAGAUAAUCAACGUAAGGAUAGAUUCAUUUUAGUGAAAAUUUCUGCUCCUCUCUGAAUUAUUACUCUUGAAUGAUUUUAAAAAUGGACCAGAACAGAACUUGUUGGCAUAUAUUAAUUUUCCCUGCUCCAGUGAUUCUCAAUUCCCUGUAAACGGCAUAACACCUUAUGCUACAUGUAGCCUUUGUUGGAAUGAACCUACUAUGUGCAGUCCCUGGGUUAGGCAUUUCAACUCUUCAGAUAAGUAAAGCAGGAAUAUUCUAAAGCCUCAGUAUUAUCAUGAGGAAACCAUAUAGUGUUACUACCUUUUUUUCCCCCUUUGGGCAAGAAAAGUAAAAAAUGAAUUUGAAAAGCCAGAUCUUAAUACAAUGGUUAUUCACAACUAUGCCCUGUCAUAGACUACCAGUUUCCAAAUAUCACCAAAUAUAAUGUACAAUUUUUAAAACUUCACCUCAAAUAUCACAUACAUAUUUCAUAAUACCGUAGGAAAAGUAGAAAAGAUGUACCAGAGUCAAACAAGUAACAGGAUGCCACAACUCCAAAAAAGUCACUGUAACCAAAAUAUAUACAUAAAAAUUAUAUUCCAAAAACCUUAAAUGGAAAAGGGCUGAACAUAUUUAAACUUUUUCUGAAAUUCCAAAGCUAAGAAAACUUUGUGACUGAAAGCAAAGACUCCUUUAUAUGUAAUGCUCAGAGUAUGCAAUGUAACCUAAUAUUUAAACUGACUGAAAUUUAAGUACAAGUGGAAAGUAGGCUGAUAGAAAACCUGAGUUCUGUGUCGUUUUUUGUUUUGUGUGUUUUUAAAUGGUGUGAGUACCAGUACCUCCAUUUUUUCCCCCCAUACAAAAUGAAACUGAGUACUCAAAAAACUCCUGGGAAUGCAGGAAGACCUAAUGAGAUACUGGGGUGGAAAUAAUGAAGUUCCUUACAGAAAGACAUACUGUCUCAAAGAUAAACAUGAGGUGUUUCUGAUAUAAUCAACUAGAAUCCCAGAUAAUUGCUAGACUGCAAAGAAUUGCAAGAUUCUUUCUAACCCGCACCUCCAAGGGGAGGUGGAAAGGGGAAAAGUAAUUACAGAAAACUGUCAAAAGUCUACGCAUCCAGGUACACAAAAAAUAUCAAUCAUGAAUUGAACAGGAUAUAAAUCCUCAAAGGUCCCAGAUACACAUAAAAAGACUUACAGACUAAAAGAAUGGUGUCUUCAUUCGACGAGGAACUUAUUUUUUGCCUAAUAAAAUAAAGAUAAACCUCUAAUUAAUUGUUCAAAUGCAACAAGACCUGUUAAAAAACAUUUGAGUGUAUGAAUGCAAUCCAGUCCUUAAUAAAACAACAAAAAACUGAAAAGAUCUUCAAUAAACAUAACUGUUCAGGGGGAAAUCUCUGCAUAUGUUCUAUUUUGAGGUGUCUGGCAGCAUUUUAGAUGAAAAUAGCAGACCAACAUCAAAGAUUAUGAAAGAAGAGCUAGAAAGACAAAAUGUAUGACCUAGACAAAAAGCAACAGCUCUGCAAUAAUUCUCUUAUUACUCCAAGACCUGAAUAAACAAUGUAAUUUUCAGUAAGCUGUGACUGAAAAUCCCCAUCUCCUAUACUCUAUGUGGAAACACACAGGAACUGUCCAUGGGGUUCUUAAUCAAUCUUUUCUGGAUCACACACUUUUUGUGGAUCUCUUCAAAGCUAUGAACUCAGUCACUGGAAUGACAUACAUGAAAUUCAUGAAUGAACAGACACAGUGUUUUCGACACAAUUCCAAAUGAUCCAUGGAUUCCCCUAAAGCUUGUCCACACAUCCAUUUUAAGAACUCUUGUUUCCAUCAUAACUAAAAAUGAGAUGGACAUCAAUCACUAAGCAAUCCUGCCUUCUACUUUCCACCAUAGGUAAGAGUUCUAAGUAGGUUUCAGAAACAGAAAAAAAGUCUGCCUUUGACAUGUUGGCCCCAGCUCCCAUUCAUUACAUUUUCCAUAUGUGUUUGUCAAACAAUAAUAAUCUACUUCCAAAGCCACAAACAGACUUUAUGAAAUGGUAUUUUAUUUUCAUUUUUAGCAUCUUUAUAGAAAAACCAAGAAAAAUAUUUUAUUCUCCUUGUUUUAUGUAUCAUAUAUAACCCCACAAUUAUCUUACUACUACACUUCAACCUGCUGUGUAUGUAUAAACCUACCUACAUAUGCUUGUUUUUACCAAACUAGGACUAUACUGUUUUCUGAUUUGCUUUAUCACUAAAAAAAAAAAUCCAAAACAAUCAGCAACCAAAAACAUACAAAAUACCUUGGAUGAAUACUUAUAAAACUUAAAUAAUCAUCCCAAUUUAGUUGGUUUCCAUAUUCAAAACACUUGCCCCUCCUUUUGCAACUUCAUUCUUAAAAUUCUAAACCCAUUUUUUAAAUAAAUUGAUAUUAAAGUUGUAUACUACUGAAUUCCAUGUAAUACAAACUACACUUUUGCAGAGAAGUAAACUAAAGUUCAAAGAGGUUUUCAAAUUUGACCCUAAAAUCAGAGUUAAUAUUUGAGUCAGAACUAGAACCCCAAUACAAAUUUCAUUGUGUUGCUUUUUUCCAUUACAUCAUGCUUCCCCUUUUUUUAAUAAACUAAAACGCACUAAAAAUGAACACUACUUAAUAUAUUCAUACGGUACACUUUUUUAGGAAACCAAAUAAUUAUUCUAUUUAAAAAAUGUGAACCUUUAUACUUUAAGUUAAAUGAGUUUCCCUAAAGCCUGGCACAACUUAAUAUGCUUACAGUUUCUUUCCCUAUCUCCUUAGUGUCCAUUCUUAUAAUAGUGUUAUAUAAAAUAAGUUAUAUUGUUCAAACAUUGUGCGCUUUAACCAGUGUCCUGUAAUAACCCAGUAGAAGUAACAGUGCCAGCUACGAGUCAAUAAAACUAAGCCUAAAUUUAAGAGGCGAAAUUUCAAUAUGCAACACCAUGUCAUUUCAGAAAGCCCCCUUUCAUUCAUGCACUAAACCAGUUAUGACACCCUUUACUUUUAUGGAGGUCUUAGUAAGCAAACAGAAAACCUAAACAAUUGUCAUAAACAUGGCAAGUGCUAUAAUAGCAAGAAGAGUAAUGACACACGGAAGGAGUAAUGAACCUUUAUGGGACAAAAAAAGUCUUAAAUCUGGAGUCUUUAAGGUUGGAGAGGAAUUUUGCCAACAGACAAAAAAGAAGGGCAUCCCAUGCAGAAAAACAAGACAAAACAAAAAACUCCACAAGUUAACACAGAGGUGUGAUUCAAGUGGUUAGUAAAACUUAGUUUUUCCGCAUUAACAAGGCAACAUGUUAGCCUACAGCAUUCAGCAUAUUUUUUUUGUUUGCUUGGUCUAAAGUGUAGACUGUAACAAAAUUAAGUUAUUCCUCAUUUCUAAAUUUCAUGUUGGGGUUUACCAUUUUUUCUAUAAACUGCCCAAAUGGGAAUAGCCCAUCAUUAACAAAUAAUAAUGUGAUAGGUUCACUCUUUAUGUAAAGUUAUGACUCUUAGUUACUGUCUGCAUUUAAGGCAAAGAGGAAGGAAAUCUACUUCCAAAAAAUUUAGUAAAUCAUGCUGCCAGUUUUGGACACACUGUGGUAAUUCAACCCCCUUAAAUGAUACAAGAUUUGUAUCUUGCAAAAAUUAAUUUCACUUGGCAAUCCCACACUAGAUAACAAUACAGAUACCACAUUUCAUCUACACAGAUUAAGUAACUUGUGUAGUUAUUUAUAAAAGCCCCAAGCCACUGUCAUAACUCUGAAAGUGGUAAGAAGUUAAAAGAUGUUGAAGAUCAAAAAAUUUGAAUACCUCUUGUAUUCAAUUCCAUUAACUACCUCAUGGCAAUGACUGAAUUUAAAGAGCAGCCAACCACAUCAAAAAGCAUUUUUAUUUUGAUGAACUGAACAUGGCUCUUUCAAAUAGGCUAAAUUAAGGUUGCCUCCUUUUCUAUCAGCAAUAUUUUAGGGUUUGCAUUUACUUCCUCCAAAAAAAUUCAUGCCAUGCAUCACCUGCAGUAAAUAUAUACAAGGCAAAGGGAGAGAAGAAAAGGUAGAAGAGCGAGAGAGGAAAGAGUUUAUUAUGUGCCAAACAACUAACAACCAAGUGCCAAACAACUAACAGGGCUAUUAUUUACUAUGUUGCAAAGAGCACUCAGUAAGAUCAUAUGUACAGAAUAAUUAAACACUACAGAAACAAGUCCUUCAAACAGUUUACAAGGUGUUCCAACUGCUGGUCCCUGCUUUCCCUCUCCAGACAUCUCACACUACUUUCAACUUGAUAACUCCAAAUCUCAACUUAGAUGUCUUUCCUCUAGGAAAGCCUUCUCUUCAACCUUCACCAACCCUGUUAUCCACCUCAUCGGUUGAUUCGUCCUUACUACACUGUAGAGUAAUCCUCCCUUAUCUGUGGAGGAUACAUCCAAGACCUUCAGUGGAUGCCUAAAACCAUGGAUAAGUACUGAACCUUAUACAUGCUGUGUAUUUUCCUAAACUACAUACUUAUGAUAAAAUUUAAUGUAAAUGGUG